GACGAACGCUGGCGGCGUGCUUAACACAUGCAAGUCGAACGGAAAGGCCCUGCUUUUGUGGGGUGCUCGAGUGGCGAACGGGUGAGUAACACGUGAGUAACCUGCCCUUGACUUUGGGAUAACUUCAGGAAACUGGGGCUAAUACCGGAUAGGAGCUCCUGCUGCAUGGUGGGGGUUGGAAAUUUUCGGCGGUUGGGGAUGGACUCGCGGCUUAUCAGCUUGUUGGUGGGGGAGUGGCUUACCAAGGCUUUGACGGGUAGCCGGCCUGAGAGGGUGACCGGCCACAUUGGGACUGAGAUACGGCCCAGACUCCUACGGGAGGCAGCAGUGGGGAAUAUUGCACAAUGGGCGGAAGCCUGAUGCAGCAACGCCGCGUGCGGGAUGACGGCCUUCGGGUUGUAAACCGCUUUCGCCUGUGACGAAGCGUGAGUGACGGUAAUGGGUAAAGAAGCACCGGCUAACUACGUG
rnacentral:rRNA from 1 species